UACGGAGGGUGCGAGCGUUGUCCGGAAUUACUGGGCGUAAAGAGUGUGUAGGCGGUGCUCUAAGUUCGGUGUGAAAUCUCCUGGCUCAACUGGGAGGGUGCGCCGGAAACUGGAGUGCUUGAGCGUGGGAGAGGAAAGCGGAAUUCCUGGUGUAGCGGUGAAAUGCGUAGAUAUCAGGAGGAACACCUGUGGUGUAGACGGCUUUCUGGACCAUAGCUGACGCUGAGACACGAAAGCGUGGGUAGCAAACAGG
rnacentral:rRNA from 1 species